CCUUUCAUUCUCUCAUAUUCCUUCACCUCCUUGGAGAACACGAUGCAGUUGUUCUCUCUAGUCUCUACUAGUUCGCGACGACAGUCGACAAGCCAUUCGCGAAAAAAUGGCUCCGUAAUUCUUUGGUUGGGGUAGGAUCUUCGAGUCCGAGUCGACGAUCAUCCGGGCCUUGUAGAUGGUUACGCCCUACGUUUCGAUCACGGAUUCUUUUUCGUGCGUAUGCUUAUUCUGCUUUGUCUUGUAUUCCUCGUUUUUUCUCCUUGUGUUAGGUUUUUAUUUGUCUUAUGUUCCAACUCUGUUAAAUCCUUGAAUCGGAAAUCCAUUUUUGCAUUCAUGAGCUCGCUCUCCUUCAGAUUUGUUAGGUUUUUCUCCUUGUGUUCUUAGGUUUUUCUUUGGUCGAAGUAGGAUCUUGGAGUCCGAGUCGACGAUCAUCCGGCCUUGUAGCCGAACCAGAGUAUCGGGCCGUGGUUCCUACAUACGUAUUCGAUCGCGGAUUCUUUUUUGUUCGUAUGCUUCUUCUGCUUUGUCUUGUAUUCCUUGUUUUUUCUCAUUGUGUUGUUAAAACCUAGAAUCGGAACUCGAUUUUUGCUUUCACGAGCUUCUCCUUCAGUUUUGUUAGGGUUUUCUCCUUGUGUUGUUAGGUUUUCAUUGGUUGAAGUAGGAUCUUCGAGUCCCGAAUCGACGAUCGUCCGGACCAGAGUAUGGGCCGUGGUUCCUCCCUACGUCUUCGUUCACGGAUUCUUUUUCGUGCGUAUGCUUCUUCUGCUUUGUCUUGUAUUUCUUUCGUGGUGUUGUUAGGUUUUUCUUUGUCUUAUAUUCCAACUCUAAUGUAUUGUUAAAACCUAGAAUCGGAAUUCGAUUUUUUGCUUUCACGAGCGCAUUUUUUCUCCUUGUGUUGUUAGGUUGUUCUUUGUCUUAUAUUCGAACUCCAAAUGAAUUGUUAAAACCUAGAAUCUGGAACUCGAUUUUUUGCUUUCACGAGCUCACUCUCCUUCAGAUUAUAGUAUCUCCAUCUCCUUGUCAUGUCCCACAUCGGAAGAGGUGGGCGUGCCAAUGCAGAACUUAAGUGGGAGGGCCUUCCUUCCCUAAUAGUCAAGGUUUUCAGAAGGGCAGAGGCCACUGGACCUUGGUUACAACCGGCCCAUGGGCAGGUGGGCAGCCCAUGCGUGGGUAGGAGAGGGCCCCUUGCUUUAGAUGUGUAUCGGUUGGGCCUUGGUUGUUAGUGGAGGGGUUCAAGGGCCAUAACACUCCUCCUCUGAGCAUCUUCUCUGUUUGCCCACACAAGGAGAGGCAAUACGCUAAAGAAUGGCUAGGUAAUUCUCUUGUUCAGCAAAGGUUCUCCGAGUCUUCCACUAUCCUGGCUUUGUAGCCGGCAAGGCAAUGUGCCAAGAGUUAGCUACUUAGCUGUAGAAGUUAUUCGCACCUUCUGUGUGCAUUUGGGAGACGGAAUUGUGUACCACUCUUGGGACUUAGCGGAUGCUGUUGGAGCAGAACUGAAUCAGGUAUAUAGCUUCCAGAACGGCCCAUCAUGAUUUAUCUCUCCUCAUUUCAUUGUGCAUUUUUUUUAUGUCAACAACUUUAUGUCACUUUUGUUGCUGUGUUAGUUCUUGUUUUUGCUCUUUAUCUCUCACAGGCACAACAUUUGUUGUCCUACUUUUCUUUAACUUCUUCGUUUAAUGAAUUUAACGUUUUCUAUCAUAAAAACUUUGUCGUUAACUAACUUGAUGGUUCAAUCAAUGUCUCCAUUAAUUACAAAGUGGCAGCAACUCUCAAAUUCAGACAAGAACCUCUUUCCUUUGUUCGGGUGGUUUACAACUUUACAUCGACAGAACUGGUGAGUAUCAUCAUUUCAUUUUGAGGUUGAUAUAUUUAUUGUAUUCUCAAUGAGAUGAUCUCAAUCUGAUAGAAUAAAAAGGUGUAUCCUCAUGGCAAGCAAUGAUUCCCAAAUUGAAUCUUAUUUUAAGUGAUUUGGUGAUUGAAUGUUAGGCAUUCACACAUGUCACAAUAAGAAAAUAUAGCAAGCUAGUUCCUUAAUGGAAAUGAAUCUUCUCAUGGUGUCCCAAUCGAGAGGGUUUGAGUUCCUAGGUCAACCGUAAACUCAGAGAUGUGCACCUGAUCUUUAAAUGGUAUUACUGGUUUGUGGCUGAUAGCCGGUAGCUGGGUGUACUCUGCAUCGGAGUACCGUAUGGAUUUCAUUGGAGAGAUUCCACAUUAUCAAAAAAAAUCCAUCACUGGAAAUUAGCAUGCCUGUGUUCCUAUUCAGGACUAUUCAGCAUUUGAUCUGAUUUGGAACUUCUAUUUUAUUGGUUUAUGCCGUGGCAAAUACUUUUUUAUUCCAAAGCAGCGAUGGUGUUUCCACAUGCAGCUACAUAGAGCAUGCCUCAUCGUUCCCAAUUUUUAUUCUUACUGGGAUCAUAAUUGGUGGUGAAUAUGAAAGUGUAAUUUCCAGUUCAAAGGACAAUCUCUCUUCAAUUUUAAACUGUGAUACCCAUGCUAGUAUUUUUAGCUCUUUUAAAUCGACAUAAUUUCAACAUAUUUUGUAUGUGAUGUGAUAGGAUAAGAAACUAGAUGAUUCAAUCUAGGAUAGGGGUAGUGCCAAUCAAAAUAAGAUGCAAUAAAAAUAUGCUAAGAUAGCUUGGGCAUUACUAUAUUGAAGAUAUUAUUGUGGUAUUGAAGAUAUUAUUGGGCAUUACUAUAUUGAAGAUAUUAUUGUGGCAUGAACUCUAUAGAAUAGAUGAAAUUGUAGAUCUUGAUAAGAACAAGUGGCAAAGAAAACUCAUGGCAUGGAUGGGUUCAUGUAGUCUACCCAUAACAUAGUGAUUAUGAUACUAUGGGAUAAGACUUUGAUGAUGAAUGUGUUGUACUAUGGUAUCUUCUUUUGUCUCAUUUGUCUUUAAAAAUUGUGUUGUACUAUGGUAUCUUAUUUUGGAGCAUUCUGGUGGUAACAGAAGCGUUGCCAUACAUUAAUUUUGCAAUUUUUGAGUUCUGCAUUGUUUGGGUGUCUGAAAUUCAUUUUUGGUGGAUAUAUGCAUUGUCUCAUGGAAUGCACGUGUAUUGUAAAUGAGAAAGUGACAUGUUUUCAUUGUCUUGGAAAAAAAGGUUAAAAAAAAAGAGUAUGGGUCUCUUACUCUUUUUUUCGUCAUUGUUGUAUUAGUUUGAUUUUUUAGCCAAAGCUUUUUUAGUUGCUAUAUUUGCACCUUUAGCAAAUCACGUUCCCUCUAGUAAGAUGCUAUUUGUCUUCUAACAAUUUCACCUGCUUUUAAGUUUUUGAUUGUUGCGUGGAUUAAAUGGCUAGUUAGCAAUGUCUUGUGUGGAUGUAUCUCGACUUCCCGCGGUCUUUAUUAUUUGAAAUCUUGUCUAUGGUAUUUUUUCUGGAUUAAAUUCUGUAUGUAUAUAUAUUUCCAUUCAAGUCAUUAUCAUACCCCCAAACUCUAAUGAGGUACAAGCUUGUUCUUUCAUUUCCUUUAAGCAUCAUAUUAUAAUCUGUUUCGCCAACUUCAUUGCGCAUUUUGCUUCAGGCACUUCCCACUUAAAAGAUAUUGGCUGAAAAUUUACGCAGGUUGAUUCUGUUUCUUCAGUAUGAUAAAGGGCACUCUUAAUCUGCUCUCUGGACUUGCUGUGGAAUGGGAUGGAGAUGUUGGUAUAUGAACAAGGUUGGUACUCCCCUAACUCAAACAUUAUUUGAUCAUAGAAAAAUAUAUGAUAGAGUCUCACAUCGGUUAGGAGAGGGGAGGAAGUGCUGUAUAUAGGUGAUAGGUAUUCCCUCUCCUUAGUAACCAAGCUUUUCCCAUAGAAGGGCUUGGCCACAACCCCCCUUGGGCCUUGGACUGCAUGGUAUGGGCCAGGCCCAAUGGCCUGUGGAUGGGUUGGGGCUUGGCUAUUGAGUGAUGGUCCUCUUGUUCUAUCAAUAUAUGAGAUCAGGCAUAUUAGCUGGCAAAAUUUGUUUAUGUUCAGUUGGUAAAACUAAAUCAUGAUAUGUGAUUUGUGAACUAGUGAGAUCAUGCCACAUGUUUAAAAGUUUUAAACAAAGUAACAUCUAAGAUUAACAAGGAACUUUCUCAU